rnacentral:rRNA from 1 species
GACGUAGGGUGCGAGCGUUGUCCGGAAUUACUGGGCGUAAAGAGCUCGUAGGUGGUUUGUCGCGUUGUCCGUGAAAACUCACAACUCAAUUGUGGGCGUGCGGGCGAUACGGGCAGACUGGAGUACUGCAGGGGAGACUGGAAUUCCUGGUGUAGCGGUGGAAUGCGCAGAUAUCAGGAGGAACACCGGUGGCGAAGGCGGGUCUCUGGGCAGUAACUGACGCUGAGGCGCGAAAGCGUGGGGAGCGAACAGG